AAAUAGAUACCCAGGUAGUCCACGCUGUAAACCGGUGGGUACUAGGUGUGGGGUCCAGUUCCACGGGUUCCGUGGCCGUAGCUAACGCUUUAAGUACCCCGCCUGGGGAGUACGGCCGCAAGGCUAAAACUCAAAGGAAUUGACGGGGCCCCGCACAAGCGGCGGAGCAUGCGGAUUAAUUCGAUGCAACGCGUAGAACCUUACCUGGGUUUGACAUGGAUCGGGAGUGCUCAGAGAUGGGUGUGCCUCUUUUGGGGUCGGUUCACAGGUGGUGCAUGGCUGUCGUCAGCUCGUGUCGUGAGAUGUUGGGUUAAGUCCCGCAACGAGCGCAACCCUUGUUCACUGUUGCCAGCACGUUAUGGUGGGGACUCAGUGGAGACCGCCGGGGUCAACUCGGAGGAAGGUGGGGAUGACGUCAAGGUCAUCAUGCCCCUUAUGUCCAGGGCUUCACGCAUGCUACAAUGGCUGGUACAGAGAGUGGCGAGCCUGUGAGGGUGAGCGAAUCUCGGAAAGCCGGUCUCAGUUCGGAUUGGGGUCUGCUAACG
rnacentral:rRNA from 1 species